UGCCAUGUGGACCUCCUCACACAAAGCUGCCUCAGCUGUAGAGUGGAGCAGAACCGACCUGGAGUCAGCAUGUUCUGCUCUACAGAGAUGAGCAGAUUGAUCCAGAAAACCAGCAUCCAUCGUUCAAGAACCAGGUGGAGCUGCAGGACAGACAGAUGCAGGAUGGAGAGGUGAAUCUGGUUCUGAAGGACUGCUAAUGGAGGAACAUCUGAGUGUCGAGUCGUUCAGGGAGGAACAAGUCUGAGAAGAGAGUCCUUCUGAAGACUGGUCCCAUCAGAACCAUCCACCUGGAUGCUCCUCCUCCUCCAGACUCAUGCUUGGACAUUGCUUCAGCUCUUUUUGGAGUUUAUUCCAGACCUUCACACCACAACAUUGAUCCACAGAAGAGGCUUUCUCCAACAGAAAUGAUCCAUUUGAAGCCGAUGAUUCAGAGCUGCUCCUAGAAAGCAGAAACCUGCCUGCAGCAAGAAUAACAAGAGAUGCUGAUAAUAAGUCAAUAAUUCAGAUAUCAAAUGUAAACACUUUGUGUUUUUGUUUUUUAAUAAAUGUUUAGUUUGGAAUAAAUCAUGUUAUUGAGUUUUUAUUUUAGUUUAUGUAAAACUGGGUGAAAACAGAAAGAGACACAAUGUACAAUAUUACUAUAUCUAUAGUAUUUUCAUUACUUUACUGAAGUUGAGACUUAGUCAAACCAGUUUAAGCCUCAAAAUAAUUCAUUCAAAUGAUUAAAGAUGGUAUAAAGAAAUAAGACGUCUUUGAUAAACAGAAAUCAGUUUAUUCAGGCUUUGGUCCACAUCAGUUUUUCCUCUUUGCUUGAAUCCAAAAUUAACCUCUGAUUACAAGAAGUUCAGAGUCUGCUGAAACACACACACACCUAAGGGUUAUUUUAGAGAGACCAGUUAACCCAACAGUCACAGCAUGUGUUGUAUUUCCAUGUCUGCUGUCGGCAUCUCAGGCGGACCAGAUGGAGGAUCUGGUUGGUCGGUUUUGUUCUACAAAAAGAAAUCUGACAUAACUUUAUAAAUCAAGACUGGAUCCAGCAUCAAAGUAGGCAGGUCACAUUCAUGUAGUAGUAACCUGUGUUUGUAUGAACAACCAUUUGGAUUAUCUGUGUGUGUGUGUGUGUGUGUGUGUGUGUGUGUGUGUGUGUGUGUGUGUGUGUGUG